rnacentral:tRNA from 1 species
UCGUCGCGGACCCGCCGGAGGGGCUCUUUUCGGACGGGGGCGCAUGAGCGAGGUCUUCGUUCAUGCCGGGUUCCACAAGACCGGCACGUCGAGCC